UUAUACAAAAUCGACAUGAUGAUUAGGGUAAAGUACUAAAUUAGUCCCUUACGUUUGGGCGUAAUCUUAUUUUGGUCCUUAAAAUUUAAAGCGUCCUAUUUGAAU